CCGAGCGGCCCCGCCUUCCUCGGGUGGCCGGGUUGGGAGAAGCCCCGGCGGAGCCCCGCGGCGGGGAAGGACGGGGCGGCGAGGACGCGUGGCGGCGGCCUCCUUGUCGGCCGCGCGUUCCCCCACCCACGUGGGUGCCUGGGACCCUCGCUUGUUGGCGCGGCUGCCCUUCCGCCGCCACCCAGCCUCCGGCCGCCUGAUACGGGGCCAGGCGCGGAGUCGCCCCGAAGCUUCCACAUCGAGCAUGGAACCCAACCCAUUCUGCUCUAAUGGAGCCGACCCCGUUGGAGUCCAACGCGGAGGUUCUGACUGGGGCAGGCCUUGCAGUUAAGAACUUGGACUCUGGAAUCGGAAAGCCUGGCCCCAGAGCCCACGACCGCUGCUUAUGAUCUAGUAGCUUCCGGCAAAGUCCUGAACCUCUCGUGGUCUACUGGCCACGACAGGAAACAGGCCAAGAGUGAGGAACUAACUAACUAACUUGCCAAGUCACGGACUGAGUAAGCGAUUUGAAUCUGUGAAUCGAGGUGCGUUUGACUCUUGUCUCCUAAAACAGGACUAGAUCGAGGGGAGAGAGGGCAUUCCAGGAAGCCAUCCCAGAUUUGGUCCCCGGCUUGCCAGCAUGGAAGCCUGAGACGUAUUUCGGUUUCCACGCCCCAGUGUUUGCAUCUUGAAAUGAGUGUCCUUUAGGUGGGCGGAUCUCUUCACGGUGUUAGUCAUCCCUUGCUUCUGGGACAUAAUAGAUUAAAGGACUUCCUAGCCGGUGA